GCCAGACUCCUACGGGAGGCAGCAGUAAGGGAUAUUGGUCAAUGGGGGAAACCCUGAACCAGCAACGCCGCGUGAGGGAAGACGGUUUUCGGAUUGUAAACCUCUGUCCUCUGUGAAGAUGAUGACGGUAGCAGAGGAGGAAGCUCCGGCUAACUACGUGCCAGCAGCCGCGGUAAUACGUAGGGGGCAAGCGUUAUCCGGAUUUACUGGGUGUAAAGGGAGCGCAGACGGCAGUGCAAGUCUGGAGUGAAAGCCCGGGGCCCAACCCCGGAACUGCUCUGGAAACUGUGCGGCUAGAGUACUGGAGGGGCAGGCGGAAUUCCUAGUGUAGCGGUGAAAUGCGUAGAUAUUAGGAGGAACACCAGUGGUGAAGGCGGCCUGCUGGACAGUAACUGACGUUGAGGCUCGAAAGCGUGGGGAGCAAACAGGAUUAGAUACCCCCGUACU
rnacentral:rRNA from 1 species